rnacentral:rRNA from 1 species
GACGAACGCUGGCGGCGUGCUUAACACAUGCAAGUCGAACGGAAAGGCCCUGCUUUUGUGGGGUGCUCGAGUGGCGAACGGGUGAGUAACACGUGAGUAACCUGCCCUUGACUUUGGGAUAACUUCAGGAAACUGGGGCUAAUACCGGCUAGGAGCUCCUGCUGCAUGGUGGGGGUUGGAAAGUUUCGGCGGGUGGGGAUGGACUCGCGGCUUAUCAGCUUGUUGGUGGGGUAGUGGCUUACCAAGGCUUUGACGGGUAGCCGGCCUGGGAGGGUGACCGGCCACAUUGGGACUGAGAUACGGCCCAGACUCCUACGGGAGGCAGCAGUGGGGAAUAUUGCACAAUGGGCGGAAGCCUGAUGCAGCAACGCCGCGUGCGGGAUGACGGCCUUCGGGUUGUAAACCGCUUGCGCCUGUGACGAAGCGUGAGUGACGGUAAUGGGUAAAGAAGCACCGGCUAACUACGUG